rnacentral:rRNA from 1 species
AUCCUACGGGAGGCAGCAGUGGGGGAUAUUGCACAAUGGGGGGAACCCUGAUGCAGCGACGCCGCGUGGGUGAAGGAGCGUUUCGGCGCGUAAAGCCCUAUCGGCAGGGAAGAAGAUGGCGGUACCUGACCAAGAAGCCCCGGCCAACUACGUGCCAGCAGCCGCGGGAAUACGUAGGGGGCAAGCGUUAUCCGGAUUUACUGGGUGUAAAGGGGGCGCAGACGGCAAUGCAAGCCAGGAGGGAAAGCCCGGGGCCCAACCCCGGGACUGCUCUUGGACCUGCAUGGCUGGAGUACAGGGGGGGG